GACAGAGGAGGCAAGCGUUGUCCGGAUUAACUGGGCGUAAAGCGUCCGCAGGUGGCACGGUCAGUGGGGUGUGAAAGCCGGUGGCUUAACCGCCGGAGGCCAUCCCAAACUGCCGCGCUGGAGUCGGGCAGAGGGUGCCGGAAUUGCCGGUGUAGUGGUGAAAUGCGUAGAGAUCGGCAGGAAGACCAAGGGGGGAAGCCAGGCA
rnacentral:rRNA from 1 species